rnacentral:rRNA from 1 species
UACGGGGGGGGCAAGCGUUGUUCGGAAUUACUGGGCGUAAAGGGCUCGUAGGCGGCCAACUAAGUCCGACGUGAAAUCCCUAGGCUCAACCUAGGAACUGCGUCUGAUACUGGAUGGCUUGAAUCCGGGAGAGGGAUGCAGAAUUCCAGGUGUAGCGGUGAAAUGCGUAGAUAUCUGGAGGAAUACCGGUGGCGAAGGCGGCAUCCUGGACCGGCAUUGACGCUGAGGAGCGAAAGCUAGGGGAGCAAACGGG